rnacentral:tRNA from 1 species
GGAGUUAGCUCAGUGGUAGAGUGCUUGCCUUGCAUGCAUGAGGCCCUGGGUUCCAUUCCUCAGCACCA